UUAGCCUCCCAAAGUGCUGGGAUUACAAGCAUGAGUCACUGUGCCCAGCCCAGCUUUGCUUUCUUUGAUCACUUUUUUUUUUUUUUUUGAAACAGUCUCACUCUAAUUCCCAGGAUAGAGUGCAGUGGUGCUAUCAUAGUUCACUGCAACAUUGACCUUCUGGGCUCAACCUAUCCUCCCACUUCUGUCUUUGGAGUAGCUAGGUGUGCACCACCACACCCAGCUAAUUUUUUUCAUUUUUUUAUGUUUUGUACGGUGUUUCAUUUUCUGUUCUUGUGUCAGUUUGCUGAGGAUGACAUUCUCCAGAUUCAUCCAUGUCCCUACAAACGACACAAACUCAUCAUUUCUGAUUGCUGCAUAAUAUUCCAUGGUGUAUAUGUGCCACAUUUUUCCAAUCCAGUCUAUGAUCAAUGGGCAUUUGGGUUGAUUCCAGGUCUUUGCUAUUGUAAACAGUGCUGCAAUGAACAUUCGUGUACAUGUGUCCUUAUAGUAGAAUGAUUUAUAGUCUUUUGGAUAUAUACCCAGUAAUGGGAUUGCUGGGUCAAAUGGAAUUUCUAUUUCUAAGGCCUUGAGGAAUCGCCACACUCUCUUCCACAAUGGUUGAACUAAUUUACACUCUCACCAACAGUGUAAAAGUGUUCCUUUUUCUCCACAUCCUCUCCAGCAUCUGUUGUCUCCAGAUUUUUUAAUGAUCGCCAUUCUAACUGGCGUGAGAUGGUAUCUCAAUGUGGUUUUGAUUUGCAUCUCUCUGAUGACCAGUGACGAUGAGCAUUUUUUCAUAUGAUUGUUGGCCUCAUAUAUGUCUUCUUUUGUAAAGUGUCUGCUCAUAUCCUUUGCCCACUUUUGAAUGGGCUUGUUUUUUUCCUGUAAAUCCGUUUGAGUUCUUUGUAAAUUCUGGAUAUCAGCCCUUUGUCAGAUGGGUAAACUGCAAAAAUGUUUUCCCAAUCUGUUGGUUGCCGAUCCACUCUAGUGACUGUUUCUUUUGCCGUGCAGAAGCUGUGGAGUUUGAUUAGGUCCCAUUUGUCUAUUUUGGCUUUUGUUGCCAAUGCUUUUGGUGUUUUGUUCAUGAAGUCCUUGCCUAUGCCUAUGUCCUGGAUGGUUUUGCCUAGAUUUCCUUCUAGGGUUUUUAUGGUGCCAGGUCUUAUGUUUAAGUCUUUAAUCCAUCUGGAGUUAAUUUUAGUGUAAGGUAUCAGGAACGGGUCCAGUUUCUGCUUUCUGCACAUGGCUAGCCAGUUUUCCCAACACCAUUUGUUAAACAGGGAAUCCUUUCCCCCUUGCUUGUUUUUGUCAGGUUUAUCAAAGAUUGUAUGGUUGUAGCUAUGUUGUGUUGCCUCCGGUGCCUCUGUUUUGUUCCAUUGGUCUAUAUCUCUGUUUUGGUACCAGUAGCAUGCUGUUUUGAUUACUGUAGCCUUGUAGUAUAGUUUGAAAUCCGGUAGUGUGAUGCCCCCCGCUGUGUUCUUUUUGCUUAGAAUUGACUUGGCUAUGCGGGCUCUCUUUUGGUUCCAUAUGAAGUUCAUGGUGGUUUUUUCCAGUUCUGUGAAGAAAGUCAAUGGUAGCUUGAUGGGGAUAGCAUUGAUUCUGUAAAUUACUUUGGGCAGUAUAGCCAUUUUCACAAUAUUAAUUCUUCCUAAGCAUGAACAUGGAAUGUUUCUCCAUCUGGUUGUGUCCUCUCUUAUUUCGUUGAGCAGUGGUUUGUAGUUCUCCUUGAAGAGGUCCCUUACGUUCCUUGUGAGUUGUAUUCCAAGGUAUUUUAUUCUUUUUGUAGCAAUUGUGAAUGGCAGUUCGUUCUUGAUUUGGCUUUCUUUAAGUCCGUUAUUGGUGUAUAGGAAUGCUUGUGAUUUUUGCACAUUGAUUUUAUAUCCUGAGACUUUGCUGAAGUUGCUUAUCAGUUUCAGGAGUUUUUGGGCUGAGGUGAUGGGGUCUUCUAGGUAUACUAUCAUGUCGUCUGCAAAUAGAGACAAUUUGGCUUCCACCUUUCCUAUUUGAAUACCCUUUAUUUCUUUUUCUUGCCUGAUUGCUCUGGCUAGAACUUCCAGAACUAUAUUGAAUAGGAGUGGUGAAAGAGGGCAUUCUUGUCUAGUGCCAGAUUUCAAAGGGAAUGCUUCCAGUUUUUGCCCAUUCAGUAUGAUAUUGGCUGUUGGUUUGUCAUAAAUAGCUUUUAUUACUUUGAGAUACGUUCCAUCGAUACCGAGUUUAUUGAGGGUUUUUAGCAUAAAGGGCUGUUGAAUUUUGUCAAAUGCCUUCUCUGCGUCAAUUGAGAUAAUCAUGUGGUUUUUGUUUUUGGUUCUGUUUAUGUGGUGAAUUACAUUGAUAGACUUGUGUAUGUUGAACCAGCCUUGCAACCCUGGGAUGAAUCCUACUUGAUCAUGGUGAAUAAGUUUUUUGAUUUGCUGUUGCAUUUGGCUUGCCAAUAUUUUAUUGAAGAUUUUUGCAUCUAUGUUCAUCAUGGAUAUUGGCCUGAAGUUUUCUUUUCUUGUUGGGUCUCUGCUGGGUUUUGGUAUCAGGAUGAUGUUGGUCUCGUAAAAUGAUUUGGGAUGUAUUCCCUCUUUUUGGAUUGUUUGAAAUAGUUUUAGAAGGAAUGGUACCAGCUCCUCUUUGUGUGUCUGGUAGAAUUCGGCUGUGAACCCGUCUGGACCUGGGCUUUUUUUGUGUGGUAGGCUCUUAAUUGCUGCCUCAACUUCUGACCUUGUUAUUGGUCUAUUCAUAGUUUCAGCUUCCUCCUGGUUUAGGCUUGGGAGGACACAGGAGUCCAGGAAUUUAUCCAUUUCUUCCAGGUUUACUAGUUUAUGUGCAUAGAGUUGUUUGUAAUAUUCUCUGAUGAUGGUUUGAAUUUCUGUGGAAUCUGUGGUGAUUUCCCCUUUAUCAUUUUUUAUUGCAUCUAUUUGGUUGUUCUCUCUUUUCUUUUUAAUCAAUCUGGCUAGUGGUCUGUCUAUUUUGUUGAUCUUUUCAAAAAACCAGCUCUUGGAUUUAUUGAUUUUUUGAAGGGUUUUUCGUGUCUCAAUCUCCUUCAGUUCAGCUCUGAUCUUAGUUAUUUCUUGUCUUCUGCUGGGUUUUCAGUUUUUUUGAUCUUGUUCCUUUAGCUCUUUCAAUUUUGAUGAUAGGGUGUCAAUUUUGGUUCUCUCCAUUCUCCUCAUAUGGGCACUUAUUGCUAUAUACUUUCCUCUAGAGACUGCUUUAAAUGUGUCCCAGAGGUUCUGGCAUGUUAUGUCUUCGUUCUCUUUGGUUUCGAAGAACUUCUUUAUUUCUGACUUCAUUUCAUUGUUUACCCAGUCAACAUUGAAGAGCCAGUUGUUCAGUUUCCAUGAAGCUGUGCGGUUCUGGGUUGGUUUCUGUAUUCUGAGUUCUAACUUGAUU
ensembl:lncRNA